rnacentral:snRNA from 1 species
GUGCUUGCUUCGGCGGCAUCACAGAUACUAAAAUUGGAACGAUACAGAGAAGAUCAGCAUGGCCCCUGCACGAGGAUGACAUGCAGAUUCAUGAAGUGUUCCAUAAAGUU